UGACCCAAAUGGCCCCAAAACGCCACUGAGCCGCUGCCCCCUCCCCAGCCUGCCCACGCCCUGGAUCUGCUCCCGUAUUCCCGGCUGAGCCCGGCACCGCGGGCUGCAUCCCAGCUGGAUGCCGUUGGCGCCGAGAUCCCGUCAGAUCCCUGCACAGGGUACCGGUUCUUCAAGCCGGGGGGUUUGUUUGGGAUGAAGCCACCGGAGGAGCCAUUCGGAGCUGCGCGGACGGGCCCGGAGGAUUCCAAGGCCCUGGGCAGUCCCUGCGCUGUGGAGCCUGGGCGGGUGAGCAAGGUGGAACCCGAGGAGAAGCCCGGCAUCGGCGCCGGCUCCCUGGAGCUGUUCCCGGCCGCGGGCGGCAGCUCUGGCCGCUGGUUCCCUGGCGGGCAGCGCGGGCCUGAGCCCCCCCGGGACCCCCCGGCCCCCCGAGCUGGCUG
rnacentral:lncRNA from 1 species